rnacentral:rRNA from 1 species
GACGAACGCUGGCGGCGUGCCUAAUACAUGCAAGUCGAACGCAGUGGGGACGGGUGAGUAACACGUGGGUAACCUCCCAUCAGAGGGGAUAACACUUGGAAACAGGUGCUAAACCGAUACUGAUGGAUGACCCCGCGGUUCAUUAGCUAGUUGGUGAGGUAACGGCUCACCAAGGCCACGCUGCAUAGCCGCCGUGAGGGGGUGAACGGCGCGUGUGUGACGUAUACAGGGCGCAUAAUCCUACGGGAGGCCGCAGUAGGGAAUCUUCGUCAAUGGACGAAAGUCUGCCCGAGCAACGCCGAGUGAGUGAAGAAGAUUUUCGGAGCGUAAAACUCUGUUGUUAGAGAAGCGGUAUCUAACCAGAAAGCCACGGCUAACUACGUGCCAGCAGUCGCGGUAAUAC